AUGUCGAUACGACGGUAGAGAGCCCAUAGUGUGCUGCCGAAACAGUCCUUCCCCACCGGUACGGGACGAGCCGAGGGGCUGCCCCCCCUUGCCGCGUGUGUACUUGCGGGGGAAACAGGAUAGUCAUGUUGCUUGGAGAAAGUGUCUGGAGAACCAGCGCUACACGGACAAGUGUGUGUCGGCCAAGGACGACCCAGACGAGUACGAGCGCGUCAGUACGUGCCCAGACGCAGGAGAUGGGUAUCGUAUUAUUGCUGGUACGGAUGCUGUGGCAAGAGAGUUUCCACAUAUGGCAUCGCUAGGCUGUCACUCAAU